UUUCAAAGCAGUUCUGUCUUGUUUACUUUUAAUAAUGGGUUUGUUUGCUUUUAAUAAUAAGAACCAGCCCCAGCCCUCCAAUUUUCUGAAGGUUGUGAGCAGAUGGAGGCUUGUGACCUGGAGUUCAGUGGUAAUCUUUCCAGCCACAAGUGGCCAGCGGCCACAGGCAACAAAUGAAAACAGGUUGUGUACAGGGAACCAUUUCAUUUGCAGGGUGUAAUGCUAUUUACCUGGGAUCCUAUCCAGCAGCUUCAAAGGUGGUGGCAGCCAUUACCCAACUAAUGAGCACCACACCUCCUGGCUCCCUGUCCUCAAGGCGGGAAGAUGCCGUGAUGCACAUCAGGAGAUGGAGGGAAAAGAAAUGACUUGCCCACCUGAGUGGCAGAAACAGUUGGGAAAAGACAUUAAGGAAGGGAUGGUGCUGUUGGCUCCAGGCAGUGACUCAAGGAGGCAUUCAUGGAGAAAGAAGAAAGGCCUUUCUCAGCACCAUCUCCCCAGUGCAUCACAGCUAAAAACCACCUUACUGGAUUCUCUUACCCUGGAGAAGAAUGCAUACUGACUGAGGACUCUGCUCCAUGCCUGGCAAAAUAUCUGACAUUUGAGGACACAGAGGUCCAAGCCAGAUUGCUACCUGCCCAAAGCAUCUAAUCCCGGGAUACAUGCCUGCAUCAUUUUCUGAUAUUUUAAAGCAGUGGAUUCCUUUCUAUGGGCUGUGAAGAGAGGGUCCUCCAUGGAAUGUGCUGAAGGGGUUCAUACAUCCUUAUGAACCAACAAGCCUUGCGUAUUGAGAGACUGAAAAUACAAAUGGACAACGGCCAGACCACAUAUAAAAGUAGAACUUGGACCCAAAACCUGCAGAAGCAUGGCCAGGAAACCAACCCACUUAUCUAUAACUAUCAGCCCGGAAAGCCAGCUUACUAUAAGUCAGACUUGCAGGAAGCCAGAAUUGCUAUCCCUAGUAACAAAAUAGGAAGUUAAAGGAUAACUUCUGUAACAAUUGACCCAAAAUGGCUAGGGUUUGAUUAAUAGCCGACAGCCUUCCUGAUUUUUGUCCCUGCUUCCAAUUUAGGACCAACCAGAGAAAGCGAGAUAUGCACCCUAAUCAAUCACAUAGGAUGCCCCACUUCUCAUUAGCCGCCUCCAGCUUCUCCAGGACAACAGCUUCCAAUCAGGGCACGCGGAAGCCUUCCCUUUUUCCCAUUUGAUAAGU